UGUCAUAAUAGUCAAAUCAUUUUUGAUUAUUUUGAAAAUUAAAAUUUAUUUGAAGUAAUAUGUUUGCAUAUCGCUUUACUAAUUUAGCAGUUCACCCUCAAUUACUAUUACCCAGAGCAAUAUUUGCAACGCACACGCCAUUGUGUCCGACUUCAAAAACAAAGCCUCCUGCAGGCAAAGGCGCUGUUUGUCCAGGCUCAGGGGGCAAGGGCGGGGCGGCUGUAAGUGGCGGCAGUAAAGGUCCAGGCUUGAAACGCCAAGAAUUUUCUGCCAAGGUGAGGUUUGGCUUUAUACCCGAAGAAUGGUUUCUAUUCUUCCAUUCAAAGACAGGCGUUUCGGGCCCUUAUGUAUUCGGAAUCGUUGUAGCGAACUACUUGUUGAGCAAGGAAAUUUUUAUCAUGGAGCAUGAGUAUUACAGUGGACUAUCUUGGGUCCUAGUUUUAUAUCUCGUAGCCACCAAGAUGGGGCCAGGUAUUGGUGCCUCUUUAGACAAAGAUGUAGAUGCAAUAGUUGCCGAAUUCGAAAGUAGUAGAAAAGCUGAAACUGCUAGCUACGAGACAACCAUAAAAGAUGCCAAGGAUGCUCAGAUGAGAGCGGAAGGACAGAAAUUACUGAUGGAUGCUAAAAAGGAGAACGUGGCUAUGCAACUUGAAGCUGCGUAUCGGGAGCGGUUCAUGCUCGUAUACAAAACAGUUAGAGGGCGUAUGGACUACCACGUCAAACGAUAUCAAUCCGAGGCGCGAAUACAUCAAAAGUGGAUGAUUGGUUGGAUAUUAGAAAACGUGAUGAAAUCUAUAACCCCGGACUUCGAAAAGCAGGCACUAGAAAGUGCUAUUCGAGACUUAGCUGCAGCCGCCAGUCGUGCGAAGUAAUAUAGAUGUUCUGGUUUAUGUAUUAUUUUUAUUUUCAACAACGAACUACCAAACUACGUGGUUGUUUUAUUACUCGAAUAAAAAUACGAAGUCCCCUCGGUUUAUAGGCUCUUAUUUAUUUUAUGACUCUUGAGCCUAAAGAUUACAUAAAAUAAAAAUCUGUUAUCGAAUGGUGUGUGUAGUUUUAUAUAUUUUACUUCUUUUAUUUAUAUUUUAUAAACAUUUUACAUAGUAUUAUAAUAUAGUAUAGAUAAAAUGCUAUGGGCUGUUCUUGGAUUUCUGUGUAUAAAUAUGUUUAUACUUAACACCGAGCAACAAGGACCUGGCAAACCUGGGAGGCCUGGCGAACCGGGGGGGCCUGGCGAACCUGGGAGGCCUGGCGAACCAGGUGACGACGCAUCUGAUGGAGAAACAGAAGACGAGAGGGAAACUAAAUUGGAUUGGGAUGUUUUUUGUAAAUACCAACCGAAUGAAUAUGAAUGCUAUGCCGGGGGAAUGUCUAGACCAAGAUUUUACUACGACAUUAAGAUGGAAGAUUGUAAAACUGCCAAAUUCGGGAACUGCCCCCAAAAUAUGAAUCAAUUUAACUCGUUAUCGGAAUGCCAGGAUCGUUGUCGAGAUCCCGGACAACACGCAAUAAAAGUUAACUUAUCAGAAAGUAUUUAUUGUCGGCUGCAACCUGAUUUCGGCCAGUGCAACGACUAUUACCCAUUGUGGUAUUUUGAUAUCUCUAUUCGAUCGUGCAGAGGUUUCUCAUACAGCGGCUGCGGCGGGAACCACAACAGGUUUCCCAACGCCCAGAUCUGCGCCGCAGUUUGUGGAGCUGUUGUUACAUAUUUGUGAAUUCAGACUGUUUCAAUAAAUCAACAAAAAUUUACCAUCAAUAAAUUAUCUACAUUUAACCGAAAUAA